rnacentral:sRNA from 1 species
GCUGGGCAUGGUGGCUCAUGCCUGUAAUCCCAGCACUUUGGGAGGCCGAGGUGGGCGUAUCACUUGAGGUCAGGAGUUCGAGACCAGCCUGGCCAACAUAGUGAAACCCCAUCUCUA